AUCGAUGAAGAACGCAGCGAAAUGCGAUAAGUAAUGUGAAUUGCAGAAUUCAGUGAAUCAUCGAAUCUUUGAACGCACCUUGCGCUCCUUGGUAUUCCGAGGAGCAUGCCUGUUUGAGUGUCAUGAAAUUCUCAACUGCCUUUUAGCAUUUAUGUUAAGGGUGAAGUUGGAGUUGGAGGAUAAUUGCUGGCGCAACUGAGGUUGCUUGUUGGCUCCUCUUGAAUGAAUGAGUUUUCUGAUGGAUCAUAGCUCAGUAACACUAAUGUGAUAAUUAUCUACGUUAGAUGUGAAGAGGCUCCUACAGAAAAGGUGUAUCUUGGGGAUAACAAACCCUUGACUUUGACAAAUUCUGACCUCAAAUCAGGUAGGACUACCCGCUGAACUUAA
rnacentral:rRNA from 1 species